GUAGAAGACACCAUUGACUACUUCAAAGAGAAAGAAAAGGAGGAUCCCCAUUUCUUCUACAGAAUAAGGCUCGACGAUGAGGAUCACGUUAAAAACAUGUACUAGGUGGAUGGUGCAGCGCGGAGAGACUACAAACAUUUUCGUGACUACAUUUCUUUCGAUGCGACAUAUCUGAUGAACAUGUACAAGAUACCAUGUGCUCCAUUCAUAGGGAUAAACAACCACAACCAGUCCUUGCAGUUUGGUUGCGGCCUUGUAUGAAAUGAAGAUAUCGAUAGCUACAUGUGGUUGAUCAAAACCUUCUUGGAGUGCAUGGAUGGACUUGCUCCAAUGAACAUAAUAACGGACCAAAACUUCAGCAUGUGUGGAGGUAUCGAGGAAGUCUUCCCCCUUGCAGUGCACAUGCAUUGCAGGUGGCAUAUUGUAAGGAAAGUAGAAGAAACUCUGGGGCCAUUCUUUGCUGACCGUCGAGAUCUACAUAAGGCAUUCGAGUUGUGCGUGCACCAGAGCUUGAUAGUGGAAGAGUUUGAACGGAGUUGGAAGGCCAUGAUUGAAGAAUAG
rnacentral:rRNA from 1 species